UGUGGGGUAGCUGUCGCUGGUACUCGUUUUGAAUCUUGCAUUGUGUGUAUUCCUGACUAUUCUCAUCUUGCAUAUCCUUGUUCAUAGGUCCAACCUCUUUUCUCUCAAUAAUUGGUGCUGCAAUUGACAUUGUUGAGAGAAGCAAUAAUCAAUAUCAUGUUCUUGUCAUCAUUGCAGAUGGACAGGUUACGAGGAAUCCUGAUACACCACCAGGAAGGUUAAGUCCACAAGAACAAGAAACUGUAAACGCCAUAGUUGCUGCCAGCGAAUAUCCUCUUUCAAUUAUUCUGGUCGGAGUGGGAGAUGGACCAUGGGAUGCAAUGCAACAUUUUGAUGAUAACAUUCCUCAGCGUUCAUUCGACAAU